rnacentral:rRNA from 1 species
AUUGAACGCUGGCGGCAGGCCUAACACAUGCAAGUCGAGCGGAUGAAUGGAGCUUGCUCCUGGAUUCAGCGGCGGACGGGUGAGUAAUGCCUAGGAAUCUGCCUGGUAGUGGGGGAUAACGUCCGGAAACGGGCGCUAAUACCGCAUACGUCCUGAGGGAGAAAGUGGGGGAUCUUCGGACCUCACGCUAUCAGAUGAGCCUAGGUCGGAUUAGCUAGUUGGUGGGGUAAAGGCCUACCAAGGCGACGAUCCGUAACUGGUCUGAGAGGAUGAUCAGUCACACUGGAACUGAGACACGGUCCAGACUCCUACGGGAGGCAGCAGUGGGGAAUAUUGGACAAUGGGCGAAAGCCUGAUCCAGCAAUGCCGCGUGUGUGAAGAAGGUCUUCGGAUUGUAAAGCACUUUAAGUUGGGAGGAAGGGCAGUAAGUUAAUACCUUGCUGUUUUGACGUUACCAACAGAAUAAGCACCGGCUAACUUCGUG